UGUAUGCACGACUGUAAGUCGCUCUGGAUAAGAGCAUCUGCUAAAUGACUAAAA
rfam:Salmo salar isolate Sally breed double haploid chromosome ssa22, whole genome shotgun sequence.